rnacentral:rRNA from 1 species
GAUGAACGCUGGCGGCGUGCCUAAUACAUGCAAGUCGAGCGAACAGAUAAGGAGCUUGCUCCUUUGACGUUAGCGGCGGACGGGUGAGUAACACGUGGGUAACCUACCUAUAAGACUGGGAUAACUUCGGGAAACCGGAGCUAAUACCGGAUAAUAUUUCGAACCGCAUGGUUCGAUAGUGAAAGAUGGUUUUGCUAUCACUUAUAGAUGGACCCGCGCCGUAUUAGCUAGUUGGUAAGGUAACGGCUUACCAAGGCGACGAUACGUAGCCGACCUGAGAGGGUGAUCGGCCACACUGGAACUGAGACACGGUCCAGACUCCUACGGGAGGCAGCAGUAGGGAAUCUUCCGCAAUGGGCGGAAGCCUGACGGAGCAACGCCGCGUGAGUGAUGAAGGUCUUCGGAUCGUAAAACUCUGUUAUUAGGGAAGAACAUACGUGUAAGUAACUGUGCACGUCUUGACGGUACCUAAUCAGAAAGCCACGGCUAACUACGUG